AACGAACGCUGGCGGCAUGCCUAACACAUGCAAGUCGAACGAGACCUUCGGGUCUAGUGGCGCACGGGUGCGUAACGCGUGGGAACCUGCCCUUAGGUUCGGAAUAACUCCCCGAAAGGGGUGCUAAUACCGGAUAAUGUCUUCGGACCAAAGAUUUAUCGCCUUUGGAUGGGCCCGCGUUGGAUUAGCUAGUUGGUAGGGUAAAAGCCUACCAAGGCGACGAUCCAUGGCUGGUCUGAGAGGAUGAUCAGCCACACUGAGACUGAGACACGGCCCAGACUCCUACGGGAGGCAGCAGUGGGGAAUAUUGGACAAUGGGCGAAAGCCUGAUCCAGCAAUGCCGCGUGAGUGAUGAAGGCCUUAGGGUUGUAAAGCUCUUUUACCCGGGAUGAUAAUGACAGUACCGGGAGAAUAAGCUCCGGCUAACUCCGUG
rnacentral:rRNA from 1 species